rnacentral:lncRNA from 1 species
GAUACAUGUGCAGGACGUGCAGGUUUGCUACAUAGGCUCGAUGAUUUCUGGGGGCCUUUUGAAAUACCAUCCUGACUUGCAGAAGUCAUAGUUUGAUAUUGCUGCUUGCUGGCUUAAGAAGAGUUUUGAUCAGAGCAUUUGGGUAAAGCCAUUGAAGCACAUUGAGACAAGAGGUUUGUCUGAAGUCAUGGAGGGGGGUUGCAGAAGAGUGAGAUCUAAAACCUUGGUUUUUGGGCAUCCCCCUAUUUCUAUUUUAUUUCCAUUAUUACACACUGGCUUCCAAAUGAAUAGAAUAAGUUUAGAAGGAUUAGGCCAAGAAUUUUAAACAGGUUUAAAAUUUAAAGACUUUAUUUGGACUUUAUCCUGGACGUUAUUUAAAGAUUGUGGGAACUGAUUUUAGUUAAUAUUGAAUAGAGCAUGUGUUAAAUGAAUGUAUGUGAAUAUGCACGAAAUGCAUUAAGCUUCAGUUUCAGGUUUUUUUCAAGGUAGGAGGGAAAGAAAGAUGUAGAGUCCUGCUAUUACCCUAAUUUAUGAUGUUUACUUAUUCCUACCUAUCUGACUAAUGCUCCUUUUGUUCUCUUUAUAAUUCUCAGUUUGUAUCUACUACCUCUGUCCCCCCAAGAGCUGCAAACAUUAGCUGAUUAAUACUCAGUCUUCUUAGCUGCUGUGAUCAGUAGAAGUAAUCUCUCAUAGCAUGUUGAUAUCUAAAUCAACAUAAUAUAUCUAAAUCACCUUUGCUAAUCUGUUGGAAUUUGCUUAGUGUUUCCUGAGCUUAUAUCUCCACUACCACAAUAUGUUUGGAAAAAGAAGUACCCAGGACAUAAAGAUAUGAGAAUUCAAUUCUGUAAAAGAGAAUAGAUUUCACUUUUGCAGUUUGAAACGUUUCAUCAAAGUCUUUUUUAAAAAAGUUUUGUUUUCUUUUUUUUCCAGUUCAAGUUAUUCUGAAGAGAGUUUUUCCACAUACAAACUGCCAACUUGGCCAUUUUCCUAUCUAUCUAUCUAUCUAUCUAUCUAUCUAUCUAUCCACCCAUGCAUAUAUUUUUGUUCUUUUUUUUUUUUUUUUUUUUUUUUUGAGACAGAGUCUUGCUCUGUUGCCCAGGCUGGAGUGCAGUGACAUGAUCUUGGCUCACUGCAACCUCCGCCUCCCAGGUUCAAACAAUUUUACUGCCUCAGCUUCAUGAGUAGCUGGGAUUAGCAGUGCCUGCCAUCACACCCGGCUAAUUUUUGUAUUUUUAGCAGAGAAGGGGUUUCGCCAUGUUGCUCAGGCUGGUCUGGAACUCCUGACCUCAAGUGAUCCACUUGCUUUGGCCUCCCAAAGUGGUGGGAUUACAGGCAUGAGCCACCACACCAGGCCCAUUUUCCAUUAUAUUUAAUACUCUCUUUUUUCUCCUCACCCAAAUAACAUAGGAGAAGGGAAAAAACCCUUGAGGCUAGAAAGAGAAGUAAUAUUUUGGAAAUCUCUGUGGUUCAGCGGUAUGUUAUCUUGCAAUUUAAAGUGUCAUUUGAUUUAUUUUUUGAAGACUAUGUUAUGGACUGAAUGUUUGUGUUUCUCCCACUAAAUUCAUAUGUUGAAAUCCUAACCCCCAAUGUGAUGGUAUUAGAGAAUGGGGUUUUGGAAGGUAAUUAGAUUAUGGAGGUGUAGGUCUCAUGAAAGGAUUAAUGCUCUUAUAAAAGGGACCCCAGAGAGAACUCAUUCACCUUCUUUCCAACGGGUGCGGGUACAGAAGUCUGCAGCCUGCACACGGAAGAGGACCCUCACCAGAGCCUGACCUUGCUGGCACCCUGAUCUUGGACUUCUGGCCUCCAGAACAUUGAGUAAUACAUUUUUGUUGUGUAUAAACCACCCAGUCUAUGGUACUUUUGUAAAGCAGCCUGAACUGAGUAACAUAUUGAGAUUAUUAAUUAUAGCCAAAUCUUGAUUAUUUGUACACUAUAUGAAUUCUCUGUCCAUGCACUUGAUCAGAGAUUGAAUUUGGCUACUGUGGUGGCCUAAAUAAUUACCUACCAAAGAGGUCUAUGUCUUAAUACCUGGAUCCUGUUAACAUGUUACUUAAGACGGCAAAAGGGACUGCAGAUGUGGUUAAGUUAAGGAUCUUGAGAUGGGGCGAUUACCUUGGGCUAUUCAGGUGGAUCUAAUGUGAUCCCAAGGGUCCUUAUAAGAGGAAAGCAGUGGAGUUGGAGUCAGAGAGGAAAAGAUAUGCUUAUGCAACCAGAGGUUGGAGUGAUGGGCUUUGAAGUUGGAGGAAGAGACCAUGAGCCAAGGAAUGUAGGCAGCCACUAGAUGCUGGAAAAAAUAAGGAAGCCCAUUCUCUCCUAAACCCUCCAGAAGAAAGAGGCUUGGUGCAGCUGUGCCAAGUGCCUUGAUUUUAGACUUCUGACCAAAACUGUAAGAGAAUAAACUACCACUAAGCUUGUGGUAAUUUGUUACUGGUGCAGUAGGAAACAAUUACACUUACCUCUCUGGGUUAUCAAGGAAUGGAAGCAAAUUUGAAUUUCCCAGUGAAAAUCUACAAGAGAAAGAACCAGCUUUUGGAUCUCAAACACCAGAACACAUAUAUUGGUAAAACAUAAAUUUGCUUUGGAAUAUUUGUCAUUUUAUCUUCUUUUUUUCCUAUUGGGAUAAUUGUGAGUUCUUAGAAAUGCUACUGAUCUUAGGCCAGUCUUCCAUUUGGUGCCAUUGCUCUGUGGUUUGCUCUGCUAAUCUUGUAUUUUCUUCUUGCUUUCUAUAAAUUUAAGGAACGCUGUGGGGAAGUGAGAAGCUGGCCUACCUUGGAGAAGGAGUGGGUGUGUGAACUUGCUUCCAAUUAGGCACAGAGAAUGUCCCCAUUUUGUUCCAGGGUCAUCACCUGCAUGGCCUGCGGUGGAGCCAGGGGCCAAAACACAACAAGGGAAACUAAAGUCUCCUGUGACAAAUUAAUUGGAGGAGAGGAUAGGAGAAAAACAAGCAUCCCACUCCUUCUCUUUACUCAAGUGGUCUGCGAAGUCGAGUCGUGGAAGGGAGAAUAAAACUCCAUUUUGUAAUGCUUUUUAAAGACGUGGCCAUAGCCAAGAUGCAGGACUUUUAAAGAUACAAUAAUCCUAGAAUUUUCUAGAACUUUUAAUCAUAAGCCUCAAAAAGUAUUCAAUCACUUGAUGGUGGCACCCACAAACCCCACAUGCUGUUGUCUGGCAUAGUCAGUGCUCUUUGAAGAAUACACUCACAAUUCUCAUUGUUUUAUUGUACCCGUUAUUCCUGGCUGGUCUCAGUUUUUAUGAAGCCCAGAAGGAAAACCUGUCCUAAACCAUCAACAGUUGCAAAGUUUAAAAUGUAGAUUCUGAUAAAUGCUGUUUUUAUAUGCGGUCUUCUCUCCUGCUGCCCAUCGGGGAUUGAUUUGUCCCCCUUUCCCCCCUGAUUUUAGAAAGUAUUUGCUUUGGAAAGUGGUUAUAUGACUUAUUGUCCAAGUAAAAAAUAAUUUAUCUUUACAUGGGUGCUGAAUUUAAAAACUUAACAUAUGAUUAUGUAUAACUUGAUCUAUUCUCAGGAAAGAGAUGAACAGGUUAAGCAGUUUGUACUCACUGGGCUGUUGGUAUUAUACAAAGUAAGAUGGGAUGCUAUUUAUUUGCCUUCAAUCCUUACUGGGGAAGCAAAACAUCAAUGCCUUGAAAAGGCUAGUUCACGAAGCACAAAUACCAGGUGGUCUUACAUCCCAGGGAAGGAUGUAAAGCUAAAGGAGUGAGAGAAGAAAGUGGGCUGGAUGGAGAUGGUGAAAGAAAUCUCCCCAGAUGGGAUGGGGCCCAGUUCGAUUUGGAAGCCUAGGGAAGAAUUUAGAAAUGUGAUAAGAAAGGAGGAAGGGGCGAGUUUAAGAUGCCAGGGGACAGCACCAGCAAUUCUGAGCUCAUCAAGUUUGAAAGAUGGAGAGGAGCCCUGCUUUGUGCAUUUAUAAUCUAAUUUGAGGACAGGCCACUGCGGUAUUUUUCUUUUCCCUGGGAUGCUUAAGAGAAAUACGCUCCUCAUUCCCAGGUGGGGCACAGCUUUUCCUCUGUUUUGCCAGCCUUAGCUGGUGAAGUGCUGUUGCAGUCGUAAUGGCAGACUCUUCUCCAACAGGCACAGACCUAUCUUGAAGGCGUAGCAUCCUGUCACUUUUCACUUAGCAUUUGCUUCAAAUAGAUGAAAAAAAAAAAGUUCUAGCAAUUGGAAGUUUUGCAGUAUCAACAAAACCUGUGUGAGAACUAGUCCUUACAUGUAAAGUCUGCCCGUUAAAAUCUGGUAUCUCAGGUUCCCCCACUCCUCAUCAUAACCUGCUAAUAAGGUAUAAUUUUGACAUUAUCAAGAUUUGCACUUGUCUUUAUUUAUUUAUUUGUGAACAGUUUCGAGCUAGGUGCCAUGAGAAAUAAAAUGUUCUACCAGUCAUGGUCCCUACCCUGAAAUUUUGAAAAAAAAAUUUUUUUUGGCCUGUCUCAGAGCUUGAAAGUCUGACAAACUCUGAAAAACCAUCCUUUGAAAGUGAAAACAAAGCGGGUUACGUCAGAUUCUGUUUUGAGGCAUGGUUUCCUAAUUAUCUCGUAGGACUCAAAAACCUUUUAGAAGAAAAACCUAAUUUUGGAAAUAAACUUCUUUCCAAGAGUGAAAACGUGCCACACGGCUGAGUGCUGUUAUUAUAACUGAGAAGGAGAAUUUGCAGGCUGCGCAUGAGGCCAGCAGCCACAGCACCUUCUGUACUUGUUUUUCACUUGUGUGCUCACAGAACACUCCCAAACUCACCUUCUUCCAGCUCUUGGUAUUAAUGGCAUGGUCUCCAACCUUCACAACCAAAUAUGACACACAAUGGCUUGCUAUAAUAAAACUCCAAGCCCUUUAAGCCAACAAAGCUCUUCACAUUCACAUCAAGUCUUCAACAAGAUUUUUCAAAACUUCCUCUUUGGGUACCAUUUUCAGGGCCAAAUACACUAUUUGUUGUUGUCUGUGCAUAGCACCUAUUAAGUAGUGACUCCAGCAUUUAUCUAUUUGUCUACUCUCAUUUGACACUGUGUGCUGUACUUCCAUAUUUCCAACAGACUGGUGGGAUGAAGGCACCUAAAUUCAGUAAGUUCAAAGCCAAGCUAAUUAAUUUUCUCCCUAAAUUACUUAAAUCACCGACGUCAGCUAAUUACCUCACGAGUCAUCCUGAUGCUCAAACCAGGCACCUCAAACUCUUCCACAAGCUCUUCUCUUUUGCUCCUGUCCUCCAUCCUCCUCAGGGCCUCCAUUCCCACAGAGCCUCUGCUUCAUUUCAGACUCACUUAAUUUCUCACUGGAUUAGCACCAGACACCUUGUUUUUUCCCCCUGCUAUUUCUAACCUAGUGUUUGCAUGGCUUCAAGUAAAAUAUCUUCCCAAAACAUAAAAUUGUUCAUUAUAGUAUCUUUUCAAAAACCGUUUACCCAAAGAAAAAUAUUCUUGAGAUGAAUUAUGUCCUCCUUUGUAAUCUGGCACUAACCUACUUUAUUUUUGCUCUAGAUACAUAGAACUUAUUAGUCCCUUCCCAGAUCUAUUAUUCUUUGUUAAGUCUUUUUGUUUAUCCUCAUUUUUACUUGAAAUUCCUCUCCACCUAUAUCUACAUGUUAAAACACUCUUUUUAAAGACAGUUCAAAUGCCACCACAUCAAUAACUCAUUCCUGAUUUGGCCCUUUCAACUCUCAUUACUCUUUAUCUCUGUCUCUCUUCUGGUGAAUAUCAAACUUACCUAAUAGCAUAAUUUAAUAGAAGAAAGUUUGAAAUGGUCAUCACAAGUUUAGGUUCAAGUCUUGAGCUUUUCCUUAUCUGUGAUCUUGGGCAGGAUAUUUAAUUCUUUCUCAGUCAUUAAGAAGUGGAUACGAUUCCUUACUUUUGAGGGAUAAUUUACUUUUAUUAAAUUAUGAAGUGCUACAAAUGUGAUUUGUUAGUAUUCGAGGGACCAGAAAAUGGUUAUAAGACUAAGGCCAUGCUUGAAGGUUCUAUGGGGCAGAUCCCUUGAAAUCAAAACUUAUGGUUGAAGAGGCCAGGAGUGGAUUUAUGUACAAUGAACACAAUUAGCAGAGAGCAGUCCAAAGUGUCUUUGAAUUGACAGUGUCUAUCUCUAAGUUCAUAGAAGUCUACUUGCUACCAUUGUGUAAAUAAAAAUGCAUGUUUUUUGCUUUUGUUUUUUUUUUUUGGAAAUGGGCAAAUUUGGGUUUAAAUGCUGAGCAAACCCUCACUAGCCAUGUAGCAUGGAGUGAGUUAUCUAACCCCUGGGAACCUCAGCUCCUCACCUGUAAAAACAAUUUACUGGUAAAAAUUUGCAAAAGCCCACUAUGAAAGGCACCAAUGCUGUGAAGCAUCAUUCCUUUUAGAUGGCAAAGUUACAGAAAAUUCCAAAGUAAAGGAUGUUGAUUUUUUGUAAGAAAUGGAAAAGGACCUCAGUCUCCAUGGUGUCCUGAGGAAGUGUUUUCAGCUGUUAGUCCAAUCAUAGAACUGGGGUUUCUACUACUGGAGGAAUUUCAGGCAGCACUCUUCUCAUCUCUGAAGCUGAACACGGGAAGAGUAGAGUGUUGAUAAAGAGUGGAUGCUUUCAGAAAAUCUGCAGUCUGUGAGGAGAGUCCAAGAGUUUUCAGGAAGGGUUGGAAGACUCAUGAGAUGGACAUGUAGAUGGAGUAGUUUUCUUUCUUUUUUUGAGACAGGGUCUGGCCCUGCCACCCAGGCUGAAGUGCAGUGGUGCAGUCUCAGCUCACUGCAGCCUCAACCUCUUGGGCUCAAGCUAUCCUCCUGCCUAAGCCUCCCAAAGAUGUGAGCCACUGUACCCAACUUGAUUUUCUUCUUCCUUCUUAUUUUUAACUGCACUCUUGGUACUUGGACUUAGGAUAAUCAUAGCCUCAUGGGCACUCCAAGUGGUGUUGUUUGUUCCAUUUUCGUUGAAUAAAAGCUACACACACAUUUUCUUUAAUGCCUUCUCUUCUCUUCUCUCCUCUCCUCUCCUCUCCUCUCCUUUCUUCUCUUCUCUUCUCUUCUCUUUUCUUCUCUUCUCUUCUCUCUUCUCUUCUCUUGCCAGGUUUUUGAUACCUGAUAUAAUUGCUAGAGGACAUGGUAUACUUUAAAUUUUUUUUUUCCAAAUCAUCUCCUCUACUUUUUAUGGAAUAGUAAAACUAAUUUAUAUUAUAAUCACAUGAAGGAGGGUGGGAGGACUUUAAGUUGCUUUUGGUUCUCGGCCUUUGACUUGUUGGUAAAUCAAAUACAUAAGUGUUGUUGUGAGAGCUAAAUACAUAAGGUACAUAAAGUAAACAUUUUAUAUAUAACAAGCACUAAAUAAUUCAUUUUUUCCUUCUUUUCUUCCUAUAUUUUUCCCAUCCGAAAUAUUUUCCCUGGAACUUAUAGUAUGUCUGAUAUAAAUAAAAAUAGAUUCAGCUUGCCUCCUGAGACAAGGAUUGCAACUGGAUGUGUUAAGAAGGAUUGUGAAGCUCUCUUUGAGUGCACUGGGAAACAGGGUUAUGGACAAUUAAGAAAGUUUGCCAUGGGAAAUGCCAUGGGGACAGUGGUAGCAGGCAAACAAGGUGUUUUCCAUCCUUGAUGUAUGUAGAUGACAUGUGGCUGUUCGGCUUGUGCAAAUGUUCCUGGAAAGUUUCCUGUUAAAUGCAUAGAUAAAUGCUUAAGACCUAAUCGCAAACUCAAUAAUACUUAUUUCAUUUUGAAAUGAGGAAGUUCUGACUGUGUAUAUAAAGUUGCAUUUUUCUUGUUAUUGUUUAAACUCAUGGUUCUGAUAACUAAAAUCUUGAAGAAAAAAAGCAAACAAAACCACCAAAAUGUUGUGAAAUGUUUUCUCUACUUCUUUAGUUCCUGAAAAACAAAAUGGAUAAUGCUUUUGAAACUCAAUUUCAGCAUAAUGAAUAAAAUGACCUAUCAUUAAAA